CAGUGGCCCCCUGGACGCCCCACCUCCACACUGGGAUGUUUCCUUGCUCUUUGAGAGUUCAGGGGGAUGCACUGGAGAGGCUCUAGCGUCCAACGAACUGGAGGGGCCCCAGGUCGGUGCUCAGAGGUCUACACAGCCUGGCCGAGUGUCAGGGAGCCUCGUUUCCCACGACCCGGCUCGCUCGAGGACGUGCCUCGCCUCGUGGGGUUUCCCGGCUUGGCACGCCUGCGUCACACGCAUCGCUGCUCUGAAGGGCAGGAGUUUGACGCUCACAGGAAAGAGCCCGCAAGUCUCCUAAGCCGCGGGCCUGGGAAGAAAUCUGGGCUGGUGCGUGUGUAAGUGCCUGGAGCAAGAGCCAAAAAAGGCACAGGUGUCCUUGAGAGAAGAUGAGACUGUGAAUGGAGAAACAGUCCUCUGCAGGUAUGCCCUGGAGUCACAGCAGACAGACACACGAACAGCCGAGCAGCCGGGACUGCUUGCCCGUGACUGGCUGCCACCUCCAGCAAAGAGAAGGACGACAGAAGAAGCCUCCUCCCCAAAUCUUCAGUAGCUGGCACCCCCCAUCCCAUAGUCCAGUUUGUACUUCUGCCCCAUGCAAGUAUUU